rnacentral:rRNA from 1 species
GAUGAACGCUGGCGGCGUGCUUAACACAUGCAAGUCGAGCGAAGCACUUUGAAUUUUUCGGAAUGAGAAGUGACUGAGCGGGCGACGGGUGAAGGUAACGCGUGGGUAACCUGCCUCAUACAGGGGGAUAACAGUUAGAAAUGACUGCUAAUACCGCAUAAGCGCACGUCAUCGCAUGAUGGUGUGUGAAAAACUCCGGUGGUAUGAGAUGGACCCGCGUCUGAUUAGGUAGUUGGUGGGGUAACGGCCCACCAAGCCGACGAUGCGUAGGGGUUCUGAGAGGAAGGUCCCCCACAUUGGUACUGAGACACGGACCAA